AAUAUUUGGAAUAUAACGAGAAGUACUAUGAUUCAAAAACUUAGUCCUAAUGAGGCAAUUGACAUAUCUGGACAUGUCCAGGCUCAUCUGAGCCCAUUUCACCAUAUUUUUGACUAUUUUUUAUCUCGCCGACCAAUAAAUUGAAGCCUAUUAUGCUAACACUUUGGGGAACGUUUGCUGUAAACCAAGGGGUUCAACUUGAAUUACAACUUCGGCAAGGGAAAUUCCCCAUUAUACUUGCUGAAGGAUUGAACGUUAAUGCAUUCCAAGGGUUGUCACUGAGUACACUAUAUAACACAUCAAUUGAAGUUGAUCCUGUUGGCCACGUUGCAAAAGUCC